UACGUAGGGGGCAAGCGUUGUCCGGAAUCAUUGGGCGUAAAGAGCGUGUAGGCGGCCAGAUAAGUCCGCUGUGAAAUCUCGAGGCUCAACUUCGAGCUGUCGGUGGAAACUGUCUGGCUAGAGUCCGGAAGAGGAGAAUGGAAUUCCUGGUGUAGCGGUGAAAUGCGCAGAUAUCAGGAAGAACACCGGUGGCGAAGGCGGUUCUCUGGGCCUUACCUGACACUGAGGAGCGAAAGCGUGGGGAGCGAACAGG
rnacentral:rRNA from 1 species